rnacentral:rRNA from 1 species
UACAGAGGUCUCAAGCGUUGUUCGGAUUCAUUGGGCGUAAAGGGUGCGUAGGCGGCGCCGUAAGUCAGGUGUGAAAUUUCGGAGCUUAACUCCGAAACUGCAUUUGAUACUGCGGUGCUUGAGGACUGGAGAGGAGACUGGAAUUUACGGUGUAGCAGUGAAAUGCGUAGAGAUCGUAAGGAAGACCAGUGGCGAAGGCGGGUCUCUGGACAGUUCCUGACGCUGAGGCACGAAGGCCAGGGGAGCAAACGGGG